CCUGAGAAACCUAAAAGUUCGAAAAGAGAGAUUCAACGUCAGCAUGUAUAGUAUUGACGUGAGUAGUGAUGUUGGUUUUGUUGGUCGGGUCAUUCCUUCCGAUACUACUGGCACAUUUUCAUGUUUUUUUUUAUUGCUAUACAACUGUCGGCGUGCACUUCUCUCUUAGUAGGACGUCCCGACCCGUUGAGUCUUAGCCUACGGCCUAAAUGGAUGUCUUCAAUAUUUCAUUAUAUUGAAAGCCAUUAGUGUCUCCUGGCCUAAGUACUCGACGGUAGUUUUAUGAUAUGGUAUUAAGCCGCAAUUUAUUUUGCGUCCGGCCUGCCGCAAAAUUAUUGACAAUUUCUGUAGACUUAGACCUUGUACUAAGUUUAUGGUGUUGUUGGAUUGCAUGACAGUGUUCUUGGACUGGCUUAGUAUAUACCUGUCAGGGACGCUUAGGCUUUGGGUACUCUCAGGACCCGUCUUGAAACACGGACCAAGGAGUCUAACAUGUACGCAAGUCAUUGGGUAUAUAUUUUCUUUCGAGAAUUUAUAUAAAACAAACCUAAAGGCGUAAUGAAAGUAAAGGUUAAAUCUUGUAUUUAACUUAGGGAUGAUGAGUUAUUAAUU
rnacentral:rRNA from 1 species